rnacentral:lncRNA from 1 species
CAGGCCUUGGGCUAACGUAGGCACUCUCGCAGUUCCUCCGCCUUCAGGAAGGUCUUUUUAGCAGGGGCCUUACGGGUGCAUGCUUCGGUCCUGGAGGACUUAGGCUAGCCUCCUCUCCAUCAGCGCCACCCGUCUGGGGCCCGAAAGGAGGGAGCUUUCCCUCUGUCCCCCAGCCUUUGGACUGUCACCAAACAAGCCAUUCGUUCACCAAAUACUUUUUAAGCGCCUACCAUGUGCCUGACAAGGGAUAUGUAACGCUGUUGUUCCACACCAGAACCAAAUGAGCGCAAGAUCUGACAAAAAAAAAAGUCCCUGUAUCCUGAGAUGGAGUCACCUGAGAAUCCACAGCAAGUCCUAACCAGGGAUGGGUCUGGGUGAUUAAGGAAGAUUGGCUUCAGAACUGGGCCAGGGGCACUGCUUUGCUUUUGCUGUUUUGAUCAGCUCUCUGCCUGCAGGAGACGAGGAAAACCAAUGGGAACAGAAACUCCUAGAGGGCAGAGGCAUGCCUGCCAUCUUCAUCAUUGCAUUACCAUCACCCAACACUAUCAGGGGACCUGCCCUGAUAAUCAGUCUACAGUUGUAUCCAGCAGCUCCAGAGAGACAGCGACCAGCAAGAAGGGGCCAUGAUGAUGGUGGUGGUUUUUUCAAAACGAAAAGGGGGAUAUGUAGGGAAAAGAAAGAGAGAUCAGACUCUUACAGACUCUUACUGUGUCUACAUAGAAAGGGAAGACAUAAGAGACUCCAUUUGGAAAAAGACCUGUACUUUAAACAAUUGCUUUGCUGAGAUGUUGUUAAUCUGUAGCUUUGCCCCAGCCACUUUGCCCCAACCACUUUGACCCAGUCUGGAGCUCACAAAAACAUGUGUUGUAUGAAAUCAAGGUUUAAGGCAUGUAGGGCUGUGCAGGAUGUGCCUUGUUAACCAAAUGUUUGCAAGCAGUAUACUUGGUAAAAGUCAUCACCAUUCUCUUGUCUCAAUAAACCAGGGGCACAAUGCACUGUGGAAAGCCGCAGGGACCUCUGCCCUUGAAAGCUGGGUAUUAUUCAAAGUUUCCCCCCAUGUGAUAGUCUGAAAUAUGGCCUCGUGGGAUGAGAAAGGCCUGACGGUCCCCUAGCCCGACACCCAUAAAAGGUCUGUGCUGAGGUGGAUUAGUCAAAGAGGAAAGACUCUUGCAUUUGAGAUAGAGGAAGGCCACUGUCUCCUGCCUGCCCCUGGGAACUGAAUGUCUCGGUAUAAAACACGAUUGUACAUUUGUUCAAUUCUGAGAUGGGAGAAAAACCGCCCUAUGGUGGGAGGUGAGACAUGUUUACAGCAAUACUGCCUUGAUAUUCUUUACUCCACUGAGAUGUUUGGGUGGAGAGAAACAUAAAUCUGGCUUACAUGCACGUUCAGUCAUAGUACCUUCCCUUGAACUUCAUUAUGACAUAGAUUCUAUUGCUCACAUGUUUGUUGCUGACCUUCUUAUUAUCACCCUGCCCUCCUACUACAUUCCUUUUUGCUGAAAUAAUAAAGAUAGUAUUCAAUAAAAACUGAGGGAACUCAGAGACCGGUGCCAGUGCAGGUCCUUGGUAUGCUAAGCGCCGGUACCCUGGGCCCACUGUUGUUUCUCUAUACUUUGUUUCUGUGUCUGAUUUCUUUUCUGUCUCUCAUCCCACCCAACAAGAAAUACCCACAGGUGUGGAGGGGCAGGCCACCCCUUCAGUAUGAG